rnacentral:lncRNA from 1 species
GGGAAACCAGAGAGUCAAUUACUCCACCUCCGCCUGGUCCAGGAGGAGCAACUGUGGCAAGUCCAGCAGGGUCACCCUCUCUAGCUGCUGGGAGCUGAGAUUUCCACUCCAGCUUCUUUGGCUGCCUUGGGGAAAUCAACGGAGUUUCCAGGAGUGUGAUGGGAAUGGUCAAGCUAUCUCCCGCCCAGCAAUAAAACCAGAUGUGGAAGCAGAUGGUGGUGACCAGGAGAGCAUUCAAGCUACAGGCAGAGACUCUCGUCCCACUCUCAACCCUUGUCUUAGAAUUACUGGACCAGAGGAAAACAGUCCCUUUAACUGAAAGCAGUGGAAGAACAGGGUAAAGUUUUCCUGAACUACAACCCAGGAGAUCCCCAGAGACAGAAGCAAUCAGAUCUCACACUCUGGCUUCUGCCAGCUUGGAAGUUUUUCACUAGAAAAGGAGGGAAUAGAGCGAGAGGAUGCCAUUUCUAAGUAUUGUGCCCCAUUUUCUUUCCUUUUUUUUUUUCUUUUUGUUUGUUUUUGAGACAGAGUCUCGCUCUGUCGCCAGGCUGGAGUGCAGUGGUGCGAUCUUGGCUCACUGAACCUCUGCCUCCUGGGUUCAAGCAAUUCUGCCUCAGCCUCCCAAGUAGCUGGGACUACAGGUGCAUGCCACCAUCCCCAGCUAAUUUUUGUAUUUUUAGUAGAGACAGGGUUUACCAUGUUGGCCAGGAUGGUCUUGAUCUCCUGACCUCAUGAUCUGCCUGUCUUGGCCUCCCAAAGUGCUGGGAUUACAGGUGCGAGCCACUGUACCCGGUCCAGUUCGCCAAGUUAAAGCUUCUCUGUACCCUAGUUUCUGUGCCCCAUUUUCUUUAACCCUGUUUUCUUAUCCUCCACCAUCACUCAAGCCAUCAGAUGCUAUCCCAGUUCCUCAGAGGAGGGAAUGGGGGCUCAGAGGGGUGAGAUCAUUAGCUAAAUUCACACACUGGUGAGUGGCAAACAGAAAUGCCAAUCUGGUCUGAAUGAUCUCCUCGCCUCCAUCACAG